UACAGAGGGGGCAAGCGUUAUUCGGAAUUAUUGGGCGUAAAGGGUGCGUAGGCGGCGCGGUAAGUCGGGUGUGAAAUCUCGGAGCCUAACUCCGAAACUGCAUUCGAUACUGCCGUGCUUGAGGACUGGAGAGGAGACUGGAAUUUACGGUGUAGCGGUGAAAUGCGUAGAUAUCGUAAGGAAGACCAGUGGCGAAGGCGGGUCUCUGGACAGUUCCUGACGCUGAGGCACGAAGGCCAGGGGAGCAAACGGG
rnacentral:rRNA from 1 species